UUAAAUCUAUGCGCUCAACGUAUAGGCCGCCGAAAAUACUGGGCAGCUAGGGAGUGGGAGAGGUACACGGUACUCAAUAGGAAGGGGUAAAAUCCUUUGAUCUAUUGAUGACCACCUGUGGCGAAGGCGGUGUACCAGAACACGUUCGACGGUGAGGGAUGAAAGCUGGGGGAGCAAACCGGAUUAGAUACCCGGGUAGUCCCAGCUGUAAACGAUGCAGACUCGGUGAUGCAUUGGCUUGUGGCCAAUGCAGUGCCGCAGGGAAGCCGUUAAGUCUGCCGCCUGGGAAGUACGUACGCAAGUAUGAAACUUAAAGGAAUUGGCGGGGGAGCACCACAAGGGGUGAAGCCUGCGGUUCAAUUGGAGUCAACGCCAGAAAUCUUACCUGGGGCGACAGCAGAAUGAAGGUCAAGCUGAAGACUUUACCAGACAAGCUGAGAGGUGGUGCAUGGCCGUCGCCAGCUCGUGCCGUGAGAUGUCCUGUUAAGUCAGGUAACGAGCGAGACCCCUGCGUCUAGUUGCUACCAUUACUCUCUGGAGUAGUGGAGCGAAUUAGACGGACCGCCACAGUUAAUGUGGAGGAAGGAAGGGGCCACGGCAGGUCAGUAUGCCCCGAAACCCUAGGGCUACACGCGGGCUGCAAUGGUAUUGACAAUGUGUACCGAAUCCGAAAGGAGGAGGCAAUCAUCAAACGAUACCUCAGUUAUGACUGAGGGCUGUAACUCGCCCUCACGAAUAUGGAAUCCCUAGUAACUGCGCGUCACUACCGCGCGGUGAAUACGUCCCUGCUCCUUGCACACACCGCCCGUCGUUUCAUCGAAGUUGGCCUUUAGUGAGGUAGUGUCUUGUUGGCAUUAUCGAGCUUGAGGUCAGUGACGAGGGAAAAGUCGUAACAAGGUA
rnacentral:rRNA from 1 species